AGAUUGAACGCUGGCGGCAGGCCUAACACAUGCAAGUCGAGCGGUAGAGAGGUGCUUGCAUCUCUUGAGAGCGGCGGACGGGUGAGUAAUGCCUAGGAAUCUGCCUAGUGGUGGGGGAUAACGUUCGGAAACGGACGCUAAUACCGCAUACGUCCUACGGGAGAAAGCGGGGGACCUUCGGCCUCGCGCCAUUAGAUGAGCCUAGGUCGGAUUAGCUAGUUGGUGAGGUAAUGGCUCACCAAGGCGACGAUCCGUAACUGGUCUGAGAGGAUGAAUCAGUCACACUGAACUGAGACACGGUCCAGACUCCGUACGGGACGGCAGCAGGUAGGGAAUAGUUGGACAAGUGGGACGAAAGCCGUGAAAAAACUCCACG
rnacentral:rRNA from 1 species